AAGGAAGAAGAGAGGGAGAAAGGAUUCCAACAAGAUGCAUUUUUGAAUCUCAAAAUCAGAGGAAAUGUUCUCUCCCUACUAGUGAUGAGCCUGCAAGAAGAGGCAGUUGCUAAAGCUUGCGCCACCACCCAGGUUAACAAUUCAGCUGCUGCUAGAAAAGAAUGACCAGAGACUACUGAGCCUAGUGACCAGGCUAGGUGGGAUGAUCCUUGCUGACCAAAGACAGAGUGUGUUGCUCCCACCAUUCAAGAGAAGCCAGUUGCUUUUAAUUGUAUCAUUCCUCAGGAGUUGUGUUUUCUUCUCUGCAAGUGAAAGGAAUUAACACAGAAAAAUAUCUGGUUUAAAUGGCAACUGGUUGAAUCCAGUCAGCAGGUGAUGGAAAUUGACAACCAACAGAGUCUGGAAAAAUGUCCAGAAUCCAUUGUGGAGGCAAGCACCCCAAGAACAUCCAAAACAGGUGCUGCUAUCUGCAACUACCUUCUAAGUCAGCGCAAGUACCUGUACUCAACAACCCUAAGUAAUUUCAAUCAAGACUUCUGAAAAGGUAAAAUUUACUUCUUCAAUACUUGGAAAGAUCCAUGUUUUCAUGUGGGCAUACUUUCCAGCGACAUAUCACCUCCAUGUUUUAGUAGAUGAAAAAAAUGAAAUUUCAUAGGAAUAAAUGUAAAGUUCUACACUUAGAUUUUUAAAAU
rnacentral:lncRNA from 1 species